GGAACAGGACGUCAUAGAGGGUGAGAACCCCGUUUCAUGGCCUUUGACUUAUGCUCAUUGUGAAUCUUCUUCAACGAUGUCGAGUGGUUUGGGAAUGCAGCUUUAAAUUGGUGGUAAAUUCCAUCUAAAGUUAAAUACUGGCAAGAGACCGAUAGCGCACAAGUAGAGUGAUCGAAAGAUGAAAAGAACUCUGAACAGAGAGUCAAAUAGUACGUGAAAUUGUUGAAAGGGAAGCACUUGUUACCAGACAUGCCUUCAGUCAAUCAGCCUUCAUUUUUGAUGGUGCACUUGGCUGUCGGUGGGUCAGCAUCAGUUACAACAGUGGGAUAAAGGCUGUGGGAAUGUGACUUCCUUCGGGGAGUGUUAUAGUCCAUAGUGUAAUACCAAUCGUUGUGACUGAGGCCUGCGCUUCGGUGAGGAUGCUGGCAUAAUGGUCAUAAGUGACCCGUCUUGAAACACGGACCAAGGAGUUUAACAUUUAUGGGAGUGUUUGGGUGUUAAAACCCUUACGCGGAAUGAAAGUAAAUGGAGGUGGGAACCGCAAGGUGCACCAUCGACCGAUCCUGAUGUUUUCGGAUGGAUUUGAGUAGGAGCAUAGCUGUUGGGACCCGAAAGAUGGUGAACUAUGCCUGAAUAGGGUGAAGCCAGAGGAAACUCUGGUGGAGGCUCGCAGCGGUUCUGACGUGCAAAUCGAUCGUCC
rnacentral:rRNA from 1 species